CUGGCGGCGUGCCUAAUACAUGCAAGUCGAGCGGAAUGAUGAAGAAGCUUGCUUCUUCUGAUUUUAGCGGCGGACGGGUGAGUAACACGUGGGCAACCUACCUUGUAGAUUGGGAUAACUCCGGGAAACCGGGGCUAAUACCGAAUAAUCCAUUUUGCUUCAUGGCGAGAUGUUGAAAGACGGUUUCGGCUGUCACUAUAAGAUGGGCCCGCGGCGCAUUAGCUAGUUGGUAGGGUAAUGGCCUACCAAGGCGACGAUGCGUAGCCGACCUGAGAGGGUGAUCGGCCACACUGGGACUGAGACACGGCCCAGACUCCUACGGGAGGCAGCAGUAGGGAAUCUUCCACAAUGGACGAAAGUCUGAUGGAGCAACGCCGCGUGAGUGAAGAAGGUUUUCGGAUCGUAAAACUCUGUUGUAAGGGAAGAACACGUACGAGAGUAACUGCUCGUACCUUGACGGUACCUUAUUAGAAAGCCACGGCUAACUACGUG
rnacentral:rRNA from 1 species